rnacentral:rRNA from 1 species
AUUGAACGCUGGCGGCAGGCCUAACACAUGCAAGUCGAGCGGAGCGGCGGACGGGUGAGUAAUGCCUAGGAAUCUGCCUGGUAGUGGGGGCUAACGUCCUGAAACGGGCGCUAAUACCGCAUACUAUCAGAUGAGCCUAGGUCGGAUUAGCUAGAUGGUGUGGUAAAGGCCUACCAAGGCGACGAUCCUGAACUGGUCUGAGAGGAUGAUAAGUCACGCUGUAACUGAGACACGGUCCAGACUCCUACGGGAGGCAGGAUGGGGUAAUAUUGUACAAUGGGGGAAAGCCUGAUCCAGCCAUGCCGCGUGUGUGAAGAAGGUCUUCGGAUUGUAAAGCACUUUAAGUUGGGAGGCGUUACCAACAGAAUAAGCACCGGCUAACUUCGUGCCAGCAGCCGCGGUAAUAC